rnacentral:siRNA from 1 species
ACACAAUCAUUGAUGGUCUUU